AUUGAACGCUGGCGGCAGGCCUAACACAUGCAAGUCGAACGAGUGGCGGACGGGUGAGAAAUGUCUGGGAAACUGCCUGAUGGCGGGGGAUAACUACUGGAAACGGUAGCUAAUACCGCAUACCAUCGGAUGUGCCCAGAUGGGAUUAGCUAGUAGGUGGGGUAAAGGCUCACCUAGGAGACGAUCCCUAGAUGGUCUGAGAGGGUGACCAGCCACACUGGAACUGUGACACGGUCCAGACUCCUACGGGAGGCAGCAGUAGGGAAUAUUGCACAAUGGGCGCAAGCCUGAUGCAGCCACGCCGCGUGUAUGAAGAAGGCCUUCGGGUUGUAAAGUACUUUCAGCGGGGAGGCGUUACCCGCACAAGAAGCACCGGCUAACUCCGUGCCAGCAGCCGCGGUAAUUC
rnacentral:rRNA from 1 species